UACAGAGGUCUCAAGCGUUGUUCGGAUUUAUUGGGCGUAAAGAGCUCGUAGGCGGUUUGUCGCGUCUGCUGUGAAAACUCGGGGCUUAACUCCGGGCCUGCAGUGGGUACGGGCAGACUAGAGUGCGGUAGGGGAGACUGGAAUUCCUGGUGUAGCGGUGAAAUGCGUAGAUAUCUGGAGGAACACCGGUGGCGAAGGCGGCAUCCUGGACCAACACUGACGCUGAGUGAGCGAAAGCCAGGGGAGCAAACGGG
rnacentral:rRNA from 1 species